CCCUUAGAUGUUCUGGGCAGCACGCGCGCUACAAUGGUCUUCGCCAACGGAUGCAUUCUCGAAGGAGAAUGCCAAUCUUGGAAUCUAUGCCUUGGUCGGGACAGUUGCUUGCAAUUUUUCGACUCGAACCAGGAAUUCCUUGUAAUCGUGAUUCAUCACAUCACGAUGAAUACGUCCCUGCCCUUUGUACACACCGCCCGUCGCUCCUACCGAUCGAAGAGUUAGGUGAAUUGUUUUGAUCGAUAAGAUUUGACUAUGGUCAACUCUCGUUGUGAAAUUCUGUGAAUCUGACUGUUUAGAGGAAGGAAAAGUCGUAACA
rnacentral:rRNA from 1 species